rnacentral:misc_RNA from 1 species
GUCCUACUGCUGCCAUCGAACAGGUGGAACAGGUGGGGACAUAGUACACGCUGGAGGAGAUUAGGCUACCCACCUUCCCCAUGGCAUACAUCUUGCACGCCACCAACGAGGUCCCCGAUAGCACAGACCAUCAAACCAUGGGAUCCUUCACCCUCCAGCAAGGGCAUUAGCAGCGGCGUCCACGACCACGAAUCAAAGCUUUUCAGUUUUCACCACAGUCCAGCUCCUGCUCUAUCUGCAGGCCACAAGAACCAACAGGAUUAUGAAUUCCCAACAGUAUUGCAGCCAGUGCUUCCAAUAAG